GAUGACUGACCAUUUUGGUGAAUAAACAAAUAAGACCUAGGCAUUGUUCAUCUCUCUCUCAAUCCACAACCUUAAGCGGCGCACAAACACAGAGGUGGCUAAAGAGAGUGUCGAUGUCAUAAUUCUAGAUCACAACUCUUCCACAAUUCCAAUUGUGGCCAAAUGGGGAUGCUCGGUAUACAUAAACAUUCAAAAAUUUGUUCAGUUUCAGCUGACAGUCAACGUGAUUGCCCUAAUUGUCAACUUUUCUUCAGCUUGUUUGAGAGAUUGGCAAUGGUGGAAAAUAGUUCGAGCUACAUCAGAAGAUUUGAUUUUGAUAAAUGAGUUAUGGGUUAGAUGUUUAGCAUCAAAAUAUUUGGUUUGGUGUUUUUGCAAAUAUUUUGACAUUGGAUUUUGGUAAAUGAUUUGUGGGUUAGAUGUUUAGCAUCAAAAUAUUUGGUUGUGUUUUGAAAAAUAUUUUGACAUAGGAUUUGGUAAUGAAUUUGUGGGUUUGAUGUUAAUAGUGUGGUAUGAAUGUUUCAGAUUGUUAGAGAAUUGUAAUUAUGUUUAUUGAGAUGUUUAAUAGCUAUUAGUUUUGAAUUA